GGGGAUAUGGCGGAAUGGUAGACGCUGCGGACUCAAAAUCCGUUGGUUUUACAAGGCCGUGAGGGUUCGAGUCCCUCUAUCCCCA
rnacentral:tRNA from 1 species